rnacentral:rRNA from 1 species
UACGUAGGGACCAAGCGUUGUUCGGAUUUACUGGGCGUAAAGGGCGCGUAGGCGGCAAUUCAAGUCAUCUGUGAAAUCUCUGGGCUUAACCCAGAACGGCCAGGUGAUACUGCUUUGCUAGAGUGCGGAAGGGGCAAUCGGAAUUCUUGGUGUAGCGGUGAAAUGCGUAGAUAUCAAGAGGAACACCAGUGGCGAAAGCGCUCUACUGGGCCAUAACUGACACUGAGGGACGAAAGCUAGGGGAGCGAAAGGG